GCUGGGCGUGGUGGCUCACGCCUGUAAUCCUAGCACUUUGGGAGGCCGAGGUGGGUGGAUCACCUGAGGUCAGGAGUUCAAGACCAGCCUGGCCAUUAUGGUGAAACUCCAUCUUUU
rfam:Callithrix jacchus chromosome 6, whole genome shotgun sequence